UUGGAGGGCAAGUCUGGUGCCAGCAGCCGCGGUAAUUCCAGCUCCAAUAGCGUAUAUUAAAGUUGUUGCAGUUAAAAAGCUCGUAGUUGAAUUUCGGGGUCAGCAGGUUGGUCGUGCCAAUGGUAUGCACUGGCCUUGCUGAUUCCUCCCUCUUGAUGAGCCGUAAUGUCAUUAAUUUGGUGUUGCGGGGAAUCAGGACUGUUACUUUGAAAAAAUUAGAGUGUUUAAAGCAGGCAAGCGCUUGAAUACAUUAGCAUGGAAUAAUGAAAUAGGACGUUUGAUCCUAUUUUGUUGGUUUCUAGGAUUGACGUAAUGAUUAAUAGGGAUAGUUGGGGGCAUUAGUAUUCAAUUGUCAGAGGUGAAAUUCUUGGAUUUAUUGAAGACUAACUACUGCGAAAGCAUUUGCCAAGGAUGUUUUCAUUAAUCAAGAACGAAAGUUAGGGGAUCGAAGACGAUCAGAUACCGUCGUAGUCUUAACCAUAAACUAUGCCGACUAGGGAUCGGAUGAUGUUAAUUUUUUAAUGACUCAUUCGGCGCCUUACGGGAAAC
rnacentral:rRNA from 1 species